AUGAAAAUAGAACUCAGAUACAGUUCUGCUUAUCAUCCUCAGUCUGAUGGACAGACAGAACGUGUAAAUCAAUGCAUUGAAAAUUAUUUAAGAUGCAUGGCAUCGGCAGAGCCAAAAAAGUGGGUAUAUCAUCUUCCAAUGGCUGAGUACUGGUACAAUACUUCCUUCCAUUCUUCUCUGCAGAAAACUCCUUUUCAAGCAUUAUAUGGGUAUGAUCCUCCCAAUAUCAGUGAGUUCUCUUUACCUGGAUCUCUAGAAGUUGGCCCUGCUGGCCCUACAGUGGAUAGGCAAGCUCUCAUGGGACAGCUCAGACAGAAUUUGCAAGCAGCUCAGGCUCGAAUGGUCAAGUUUGCAGAUAAGAAGAGAACUGAACGAGUACUAGCUCCUGGAGAUAUGGUUUAUCUGAAACUGCAACCCUACAGGCUCAAUGCUUUCGGUAUCCGACACCAUAUCAAGCUGCAAAGCAAGUAUUAUGGACCCUUUCGAGUGUUGAGCAAAGUUGGUAAUGUGGCUUAUAAGCUGUUCUUGCCAGCAGAUUCCCAAAUCCAUCCGGUAUUCCACAUUAGUCAACUUAAAAAGCAUAUUGGCCCAACAGCAGUUCCUUGCACGGAUCUACCCUUAAUUGGACCAAAUGGACAGAUAAGGACUGAACCAGUACUUGUCUUGGAAAUUCGUCAAAUACCACGGAACAAUGUUGCGGUGGUGCAGUGGCUCGUUCAGUGGGAGAACUUACCACCUGAAGAUGCUUCCUGGGAAGAUGCUGAUUUUAUCAAACACACAUUUCCGGGAUUCUUCAAGCAAACGGUGGAGAGCUGGCGGAAGCACGGCCCACCUUGA
rnacentral:rRNA from 1 species